AUAUAUAUAUAUAUAUAUAUAUAUAUAUGUAUAUAUACACUUUUUUUAAUCAUAUCAAUUUUAAACACAGUUUUCAUGAAUAAGAAAGGUGGCAAUUGACAUUGACACUUCAUUACAGAGUCUUGUCCAGGUGUACACAAUCAAUGAGCGCUUGUAAUAGAAUGUAAUAUAAAGUGUAUAGGGGUGGUGCCAUCCCACAGUGUAACGAACACUACCAUCCACUACUAUCUAUUCCAGUCUGAUAAUCAAGCCCAGUAUAGCUGAUCAAUACCCUCGGUGGAAAAAAGCUGGACAGCAGAUUGGACCCCAGGGUUAGGCUGGCGGAGGUGGCAGAAGGGAUGUGUGGCGAGCCAAGGGAGAGGAGUUGGAUAAGAAAUAGUGGGAAGGGGGGAGCUGAAAUUACCUGGGACUUAUUGAGUGAUUUGCUCAGAUAGACUCGGUUGGGAAAUAAAGAGAGAUGGUUGGGGAAAUACAGGGAGAUGGUUGGGGAAACAUAGGGAGAUGGUUGGGGAAACAUAGGGAGAUGGUUGGGGAAACAUAGGGAGAUGGUUGGGGAAACAUAGGGAGAUGGUUGGGGAAACAUAGGGAGAUGGUUGGGGAAACAGGAUGGUUGGGGAAACAUAGGGAGAUGGUUGGUGAAAUACAAGGAGAUGGUUGGGGAAACACAGGGAGAUGGUUGGAGAAAAACAGGGUGAUUGUUGGAGAAACACAGGGAGAUGGUUGGGGAAACACAGGGAGAUGGUUGGAGAAACACAGAGAGAUGGUUGGGGAAACACAGGGAGAUGGUUGGAGAAACACAGGGAGAUGGUUGGAGAAACACAGGGAGAUGGUUGGAGAAACACAGCGAGAUGGUUGGGGAAACACAGGGAGAUGGUUGGAAAAACACAUGGAGAUGGUUGGAAAAACACAGCGAGAUGGUUGGGGAAAGGGGAGAAAGAGGGAGGAAGAGGAAUACACCUAAUAUUGUUAUUUUCAAAGAUGAGCUCCAAGAUGAAAGAACGCUGGCUGGAGAAGGACAAUAGCUGUCUCUUUAACUAUAGUACAGUGUUUGUUCCAGACUUGUUUUGUGAUUGGUGGAGGUUUGGAUACAUUUUAUAAUGUUCUUGCUCUUUGACAAUGUAAGAAUUAAUUCCAUCUCAUCAACACGAAUAGAGAUUAUGUGUAUCAGUUACGCUUGUAAUUAUGCAGUAUGUAACUAUUAAAAAUGAGCACUGCACAUUUAAUCCUUCUUUGUAAUUUUCAUGAAACUAUUUUCAGACCAAGGAGAUCAGACAGUACCCGUCAAAAGUUUGGACACACCUACUCAUUCCCAGGUUUUAUUCGUUUUUACUACUUUGUACAUUGUAGAAUAAUAGUGAAGACAUCAAAACUAUGAAAUAACACAUAUGUAAUCAUGUAGUAACCAAAAAAGUGUUAAACAAAUCAAAAUGUAUUUAAUAUUUCAGAUUCUUCAAAGUAGCCACCCUUUGCCUUGAUGACAGCGUUGCACACUUUUGGCAUUCCCUCAACCAGCUUCACCUGGAAUGCUUUUCCAGCUGUCUUGAAGAAGUUCCCACACAUGCUGAGCACUUGUGGCUGCUUUUCCUUCACUCUGUGGUCCAACUCAUCUAAUCUGGUUUGAGGUCGGGUGAUUGUGGUCAUCUGAUGCAGCACUCUAUCACUCUCAGCCUGGAGGUGUGUUUGGUCAUUGUCCUGUUGAAAAAUAAAUCAUAUGUGUUAUUUCAAAGUUAUG
rnacentral:lncRNA from 1 species